GAGGCGGGGGCGGGAGCAGCAGAAGCGGACGGCGGCGUUGAAGAGGGGGAGGUCGACGGGGCAGGCGCCGGAGAGGACGUCGGAGACGAGGGUUUCGGCGGCGGCGAGGCGGCCGGAGGAGGCGGCGACGGAGAGGGCGGCGAGGUAGGCCUCCGGCGGGUGGCGGUAGCCGGGGCGGAGCGAGGCCCAGCGGAAGAGGUCGAGUGCGAGGUCGGGGUCGGCGGCGGCGCGCACCGCCGCCGCGACGUCGGCGCCGGUGAACCCCGGGCGGAGGCGUUCCACCCAGUUCGCGAACUGCUGCUCCAGCGGGGUGAGCCCGCGAGGACCAGCGCUAGGGUUUGGGUCAGGGUUCGGAGCUGGGGACGAGGAGGAGGAGGAGGAGGAGGAGGAGAGGGGGCGAUUAGGGUUAGGGUUGAGGAGGAGGGAACGGGGAGAGGGGAGAGAGAGGAGGCGCUUGGGUGCGAGUCUCAUUUCCUACUAAAACUGGAAAACGAGGAGGGGAAAGAGAAAUGGCGAUCGAGCUCACCAUCAUCAAUUCAUCAUCAUCAUAUUCAUGCGAAACAAAGAAGAGAAUGGUUAAUUUGCACCGCGAGUAACUUUUCAACUGAAUUUUUCAUUUCGGUCCUUAAAAUUUUACAUUUCACAAUCAAAAUCUCUCUCUCUCUCUCUCUCUAUUUUACCGCAAUUUUGCCGCAGGAAGAAGCUGCUGCAUAAAACUUCGACGAAGUGAAGUGCUGCUUUUAAUUUCACGCAUUAUUUCGUACAAAAUUACUUUCAGAAAUAAUGUUACAAAGAAGCUCAAUGAUCUGCAUCAUAUAAAUAAAUUUCUGCGUGUUAAAAAUAACUUCAGAUAUAUCAGUUAAAACAUCAAUAUGACUUUUAAAUUUGGCCCUAAAGAUAACAUCUGGCCAUGUUUAUUCAUACAAAUCCCAAAAAGAAACAGUCCAAGAACUCAUGAUCCAGUUAAAUGAAGCUCCAGUUCCAGUGUAAGUCACGAUCUAUUAGUCCCUUCAAAAAUUUAUUUAUCUUUUGCCUUCAAGAUUACUGUCAAACUUUAAACCCCUCGGCGCGGAGGCACUGUUUAUGGGCUUCAAUCCACUUCCCGCAGGCAGCCUCGCCGUGCUCCACGAUGCAUUCGUCUCUCAGCUUCUUCGUAUCUGGGCAGGCGCAGCAUAUCUUCUUUUUAGGCUUUGAUUCCGGGGGCGGAUUAGGUGAGGUCAGAGCCUCGCUUGCAGCUGGGGGUUGGGGCAAUUUCAAUGGCAACGGCAUCCCGACCUCUACGUUGCUCGUCUUUGCCAUUUGUUCCGAAGUAAGGAAGUGAACUGCAAAACAUUCAAGACAGAGUUAAACCAUAAUGCACCUUGCCUGAUUUUCCGAACUCGUAAUUUUCGGGUUAUCACCGUAGGAGAGAGGUCAUCGUAGUUGCCGUAGGAUGCAGAUUUAAGUGAGAAAAUUUUCAUGACGGAAUAUGUUCCACAAAUGGCAUCCCAAAUCCAAAAAAGGAAACUUCACAAUUUAAUAACUAAAUAGUCCACCUAAAGUACAAGAAUGACAACGCGAUUAUGACCAAAUCAUCCACAUACAAUUACUCAGUCGAAUAACAUCUCCGACGAAGAAUACACCUAAUAAUAGGUUUCUGUAAAAUAGAAAGGGAAAACUGAAUCAUUUCCUGGAAUAACAGAUCAUAAUUUAGGGUAUAGAAAGGUAGCGCGCAAAUGUGAGGAUUUGUAAAUUUACUAAACAGACCGAAGCAUUUCCUUUUAAAACAAGCCAUGGACGAGGGAACACGAAUCCAAUAACAGAAGAACACAUGGUCUUGGUUAGUUUUGGAAAAGUAACAAAUUAUGAUUAUAAUAGAGACAAAUACAAAUCACCAUAGCCCGCUAGUUCAACUAUAACAGAGUCUAACAGGAAAGCACGACUAAUUACAUAUUCCAAUUAUUUUUAUAAAAAAUUUUCGAAAAAAAAAACACAAAGUCUAGCUUAUCCACAGGUACGCAGGGAAAGUUUUUUAGCCGUUGUCUAUAGUACCAUACAACUUCCAUGAACGGUUAUACAUAUAGAUAUAGAAUGAAAUUUUUAUAAGUAUUUCUUGUUUGUUCCCUGUAAACCAGGCAGGCGGCAAGCAAAAUGCUUGACAAAGAAAAAAGUGGCAAGAAAAGAAUGAGAGUGCAUAAGCAUAAUUAGGACAAGAUAAUGACAAAAGGAUGACAAGCACUUGCCUUUGAACAUCAACACGGAUAUGAAAGUUUCAAGAACGGGAAGGCAUUUUUGAAGGUCCAAAAACAGUAAGACCUUUCACAUUGACACAGCAGCAGGAGAUGCGCGUGACUAUGCAAUUAAGAUAUGAUAAAGCUGAUCCGACACAAGCUAAGUAACAGCGAAACAUGAUAAUUUUCAUGAAACAAANGGCGACGGAGAGGGCGGCGAGGUAGGCCUCCGGCGGGUGGCGGUAGCCGGGGCGGAGCGAGGCCCAGCGGAAGAGGUCGAGUGCGAGGUCGGGGUCGGCGGCGGCGCGCACCGCCGCCGCGACGUCGGCGCCGGUGAACCCCGGGCGGAGGCGUUCCACCCAGUUCGCGAACUGCUGCUCCAGCGGGGUGAGCCCGCGAGGACCAGCGCUAGGGUUUGGGUCAGGGUUCGGAGCUGGGGACGAGGAGGAGGAGGAGGAGAGGGGGCGAUUAGGGUUGGGGUUGAGGAGGAGGGAACGGGGAGAGGGGAGAGAGAGGAGGCGCUUGGGUGCGAGUCUCAUUUCCUACUAAAACUGGAAAACGAGGAGGGGAAAGAGAAAUGGCGAUCGAGCUCACCAUCUCAUGCGAAACAAAGAAGAGAAUGGUUAAUUUGCACCGCGAGUAACUUUUCAACUGAAUUUUUCAUUUUGGUCCUUUAAAUUUUACAUUUCACAAUCAAAAUCUCUCUCUCUCUCUCUCUCUCUCUCUCUUUUUUACCACAAUUUUGCCGCAGGAAGAAG
rnacentral:lncRNA from 1 species